UUUUUUUUUUUUUUUUUUUAUUAAUCGGAGUGUUGACUCGAUUGUGAUGGUGAUGUUUUGUAAGAGGUCGUCCUUCUUAUAAUGAUCUUCCCACGGUCGUAAGUGAUUCCAUGGCACCGCCAACGAUUCUACUUCAACCUACCUAUUGGAAUUAUUUCUAGCGUAGAAACGCCAAUGUCAGUGACCUACUCCCGAUUAAUUCCGAAAGUACCAGCGCUAGGGAGAGAGAAGGAACAAUGGCGCCCCCACCCCCCUCUGGCUAUGAACAAAGCCCGAACUGCGAUCUCACAAGAUACCGAACCAAAAUUUGAUGGACGUGAUAGUAACCCUCCCAGUGGCAUAAUUAAGGAAUUCCAGUAGUUUUAAAGCUUGCAGUCUACCCUUUGUCGGCAAAUUCGAUGGGGUAGUGAGACAUGAUUGUGGCAUAUGAUGGACAGGGGACCCCUGAGAAUAAUUGGCUUUUUUUAUCUUUUCGAUUUGGUGAAGCUAGGUUCAUUUUACACGGAUAAGCUUCAUUUCAGCUAAAAUCCUGUAAAGUAACCAAAGAAUAUUCUUAAGGUAGUUAAAUCAUGGCAAAAGAAAACUGAUACUAUAGAAAUGCCUACUUGCCAUGAUGACCAAAGGUAAUUUUGUUUGAUGGAACUGUCCAAAGCAUUUUCACUUCCUUUCCAUCCCUAUAGUGACCACCGCAGAGUUUGGUGCUUAAAUAUCACGUGUAACAAAACUACAGCUCAGAGAAUCUCUUCAGCCGAG